rnacentral:rRNA from 1 species
UACAGAGGGUGCAAGCGUUAAUCGGAACUACUGGGCGUAAAGCGCGCGUAGGUGGUUUGGUAAGUCGGAUGUGAAAUCCCCGGGCUUAACCUGGGAACUGCAUUUGGAACUGGAAGGCUAGAGUGCGGCAGAGGGGGGUAGAAUUCCACGUGUAGCAGUGAAAUGCGUAGAGAUGUGGAGGAAUACCGAUGGCGAAGGCAGCCCCCUGGGUCGACACUGACGCUCAUGCACGAAAGCGUGGGGAGCAAACAGG